CGGGUCUUUGCGGGCGAGGUGA
rnacentral:miRNA from 1 species